rfam:Haemonchus placei strain MHpl1 genome assembly, scaffold: HPLM_scaffold0003236
GGCCCAAAUUUGAAGUAGAGUAGAUUAGGAGGAUCGUCUGACCCUACUAAACUACUCUACUUCGACUUUGUGCCC